rnacentral:rRNA from 1 species
CCUGAUGCAGCGACGCCGCGUGAGGGAUGACGGCCUUCGGGUUGUAAACCUCUUUCAGCAGGGAAGAAGCGCAAGUGACGGUACCUGCAGAAGAAGCGCCGGCUAACUACGUGCCAGCAGCCGCGGUAAUACGUAGGGCGCAAGCGUUGUCCGGAAUUAUUGGGCGUAAAGAGCUCGUAGGCGGCUUGUCACGUCGGGUGUGAAAGCCCGGGGCUUAACCCCGGGUCUGCAUCCGAUACG